CUUUGGCAUAGUAGCAACAAUCAACAUUCUCCUGUAAGUUAGGGAAAGAGAUCCAUUACAGCAGGCAUAAUAUUAACAGACAUAUUUUGUGUUCUUCCAUGAAGUCUAAAACUAGCCAAAAUAAAAUAAUAAACCAGAGUGAAGAUGAUAUAUAAAAUAAUAAAAAAGUGUAUUUUUUAAUUGGAAAACUGUACAAUUUAAGAGCAAACUUCAAAAAUCCAGCAGCCCAAAGUAAGCCUCAAGACUUUAUUUACAAUUUAUGUAUACAGAUUUAGUCUGAUUGUGUGAUAAUCAUUAAUAAUGCCAGUAUUACCAGUAAUACCUACCUCACAGGAGAUAACUUUUCAAAUCUUAAUGGUACACUUUUCCAGCAUUUAGAGAGUCUUUUUGGCAUAUAAAAUACUGUUACCAGUAUAAGUGGGAUAAAAUAUUGUCACAUCAACCAAGAGAGAGAUGAAAUAUCACAAAGAAAUCAAAUUAGCAAGCAAAACAUCAAUGAUGCCAAUUAAGAUGCAUUAUUUGACUAUGAAACUUUCUGUGAGCUUUGUGUUAAAUGCUAAGACUAACAUAUUCUGUUAAUAAUAGGAAAAGACAAGAAUUAUUUCAGAGUUCCACUGUAUAAUUCUCUUUCCAGAACAGGCAUUUCAAACAGCUUCAUUUGCCUUAAAGUCUCACUGUAGUCAGCCAGAGGACUCCUACUUUAUGAAAGUAUUGUGGAGAAUGGAACCACCCCAAAUGUACCAAGAACCCUCCCUUUAAAAAUCUGUUCACCAUAAAUUAUUAGUUUUAUCAAAGAUUAUGCUACUCAAACAUUACAGAUUAUUUUUUCAGAGGUGCCAGAUAGAACAAGAAUUUCAGAGACAUGUUAUUCCUUUCUCUGCAUUUCAACAUGCCUAGGAGAGAAAGACUGAAGUUUCUGUUAAAAAGGAGACAAAUUUUGUUUGACUUUUCUGAAAAGUACCAGGAAGAGAUUGGUUCAGGCUGUUGGCCAAAAACUCCCAUGGGAGGAGAAAAAGGAGAAAAAUCAGAAGUGUCUGGCCUUGGGACAGAUUUAGCAGAAAUCUUGCAGGCUCCCUCUUCUUGUCUUUGCAACACACUUGAUUUACAGCCAUGUAAAUUAUAACUGGCAAUGUCCAAGCCCUCUCACUGUUACAAUGACUUUUGCAAGGCUUUCUCAACCACAUGGCUCUUGAACUUCUAGCCUUCAGUACAGGAUUUUGUUGUUCCUAGUACCACAUGGAGACAGAGGAAUGUGGUUUUGGGGCAUAGUUCAACACAUCUACUUUAAACAACUGAAAAGCUUGGUUAGAUUUUUGCCACAAAAGGGCCUACAACAUCUGUAGGAAAAAUCUUGAGAAACUAGCUCAGAUGUUAUGACAGUUCUGCAGGUGUAUAAUUUAGUCAUCACAUAACUAAACAACAAUAAGAAGCCAAAAGCCCUGAAUCCAUUAGCUCAGUCUUUUAUCUGAGAUAUUUAGGAUCUCACAUCUUUACAUGGCUUGAAAGAGAUUUUCUUCUUCCUUUGAAUAUAUAUCUGUUGAAGAGGUAGGGGAGGAUUUAAUUUUUUCUCUUCUCUCCAGGAAAAUUCUUUAAACUUAUUUCAGGAAAAAAACAAAAAAACAAAAAAACAAAAAACAAACAAACAAAAAAAGAGCUCCCUAAUAUUUAUUGUUUUUAAGAAAAUCCUUAAUUUUCCUUCAAUUCUAUAACAUGCCUAUAUCCCUUUCACAGAGAUAGGCAUUUUGAAUAGAUGACUGAGAUUUUAUAAUAGUGAUCUGUGAUUUUAUAUUAGUACUGUUAGUUUUCAUUACGGUGCUUGUGAAAGAAAGUGAAAUCCCUAGCAAUUUCAUUGCUUUUUAUUCAGAAUAUCAAGGAUUCACAAACUAGAUUUCUGGGAAUUUUAAAAUUAAAUUCUCCCCUCCCCCUUGGGAAAUACUUAGAAAUGUAUCUUCAUUGUUUCUCAUAAUUUACCAUUUAUUAUAUGAAUAUAAAUUCAGUGUUCUGAAUGUGUAUAGCAAAGCUUAGAAUUUAAGAUACACUUCCCCAUGAGCAGUGAGCCAUACCCAUAGCCAGUCACAACUGUUAGGUCUUCAGCAUCUUAGAAUGCCUCUUGAUUACAGCAGACUUUUCUUGGGAGUCUAUCUUUUCAGGAAGUAAAGGCCUGAUCCAAACCCCGCUGAAGUCAAUGGAAAAAGACUCCCAUUGACUACAAUGGGCUCUGGAUCAUGCCCUAAGUCCAAUCUCUUCAUUAAUGCAGGAUUAAUAAUAAGAUGGCUUUCUAGUACCCUGGAGUACCUAAAGUCCCGGCAAUUUCAGCUGAACAACUUCACUUUAGACUGCAGUCCGCUGAAAUUUGAAAGAUGAAGCUGAGGUCUGUUUGGGUGAUAAGAAAACAUUAACUGGGGUAUUUUCAUUUCCUUAUAGUCAAAUUCAUCAGUUCAGUCAAAAUCCUUAGGCAUCCUGAGAAAAUAAAUGAAGCCAAAGAAAAAUACAUUUUUCAAACCAUAUUUGCUUCAGAAACAUAGUAUAGACUCUGAUUUGAUCAAGGAACAGAUGAAGGGGAGAUCAGUAUAGAGUCUCACAAUAUGAAACAAGCUAAAAAAACUACUGUACAGUUAACUACAUAAGGGUUUUAGUUUCAUUUCUUUUUAAAUUGACAGAAAAUACAUGAUACAAAGAUUGCCAUAGUGUUUUCUCAGUUUGUACAACAAAGCACAAUCAGUUCACAAUGAGACGAGCAGAAGGAUAUUAACA
ensembl:lncRNA